AAGGCCGAGAGCUGAUGACGAGUGUUCUUUUAGAACACGAAGUGGUUGAUGCCAUGCUUCCAAGAAAAGCUUCUAAGCUUCAGGUAACCAGGAACCGUACCCCAAACCGACACAGGUGGUUGGGUAGAGAAUACCAAGGCGCUUGAGAGAACUCGGGUGAAGGAACUAGGCAAAAUGGCACCGUAACUUCGGGAGAAGGUGCGCCGGUGAGGGUGAAGGACUUGCUCCGUAAGCUCAUGCCGGUCGAAGAUACCAGGCCGCUGCGACUGUUUAUUAAAAACACAGCACUCUGCAAACACGAAAGUGGACGUAUAGGGUGUGACGCCUGCCCGGUGCCGGAAGGUUAAUUGAUGGGGUUAGCUAACGCGAAGCUCUUGAUCGAAGCCCCGGUAAACGGCGGCCGUAACUAUAACGGUCCUAAGGUAGCGAAAUUCCUUGUCGGGUAAGUUCCGACCUGCACGAAUGGCGUAACGAUGGCGGCGCUGUCUCCACCCGAGACUCAGUGAAAUUGAAAUCGCUGUGAAGAUGCAGUGUAUCCGCGGCUAGACGGAAAGACCCCGUGAACCUUUACUAUAGCUUUGCACUGGACUUUGAAUUUGCUUGUGUAGGAUAGGUGGGAGGCUUUGAAGCGUGGACGCCAGUUCGCGUGGAGCCAUCCUUGAAAUACCACCCUGGCAACUUUGAGGUUCUAACUCAGGUCCGUUAUCCGGAUCGAGGACAGUGUAUGGUGGGUAGUUUGACUGGGGCGGUCUCCUCCUAAAGAGUAACGGAGGAGUACGAAGGUGCGCUCAGACCGGUCGGAAAUCGGUCGUAGAGUAUAAAGGCAAAAGCGCGCUUGACUGCGAGACAGACACGUCGAGCAGGUACGAAAGUAGGUCUUAGUGAUCCGGUGGUUCUGUAUGGAAGGGCCAUCGCUCAACGGAUAAAAGGUACUCCGGGGAUAACAGGCUGAUACCGCCCAAGAGUUCAUAUCGACGGCGGUGUUUGGCACCUCGAUGUCGGCUCAUCACAUCCUGGGGCUGAAGCCGGUCCCAAGGGUAUGGCUGUUCGCCAUUUAAAGUGGUACGCGAGCUGGGUUUAGAACGUCGUGAGACAGUUCGGUCCCUAUCUGCCGUGGACGUUUGAGAUUUGAGAGGGGCUGCUCCUAGUACGAGAGGACCGGAGUGGACGAACCUCUGGUGUUCCGGUUGUCACGCCAGUGGCAUUGCCGGGUAGCUAUGUUCGGAAAAGAUAACCGCUGAAAGCAUCUAAGCGGGAAACUUGCCUCAAGAUGAGAUCUCACUGGAACCUUGAGUUCCCUGAAGGGCCGUCGAAGACUACGACGUUGAUAGGCAGGGUGUGUAAGCGCUGUGAGGCGUUGAGCUAACCUGUACUAAUUGCCCGUGAGGCUUGACCAUAUAACACCCAAGCA
rnacentral:rRNA from 1 species